rnacentral:rRNA from 1 species
UACGAGGGGGGCGAGCGUUGUUCGGAAUUAUUGGCGUAAAGGGCUCGUAGGCGGCCAACUAAGUCAGACGUGAAAUCCCUCGGCUUAACCGGGAACUGCAUCUGAUACUGGAUGGCUUGAGUUCGGGAGAGGGAUGCGGAAUUCCAGGUGUAGCGGUAGAAAUGCGUAGAUAUCAGGAGGAACACCGGUGGCGAAGGCGGUUCUCUGGGCAUUAACUGACGCUGAGGAGCGAAAGCAUGGGGAGCGAACAGG